AGCUAAAGCAUAUUAUUUCUCUAACUUUCCAUAUUUACUGUUUUUAGAGCUUGUCUCUUUUACACCAGUGAACAAGAGGACUUGAAAUAUCCUCUGGUUAAACAACUCAUAUUAUGUCCAGAACAUUUCUAAAGAAGACACCAAGUGGAAGUUUUGAACAUGGGAGUCUUCAAUGCAGGGUUGAGUGCCCCUCUUACUGCAGUGCCUCACAGCUCAGCAAGCACAGAAAAUGUACAAAUCUUUGCCUUAGCAGCUCUAGGUGCUGCUACUUGAAGCACUGAUAUGGGAUCAUUAGUAACCUCCCUUCCUUUGGAAAAGAUGCUGUAACGGUGCUCCUUUGCAUUGUGAUUCUUCCCUUCUCUUAAGAGUCCCUACUGAGAUGGAUCAGAGGAGUGGAUCUACCUGGACUGACACUCUGCUCAAAUAGUCCCUGGCUAGAAUGAAGUCAGAAAGUACUUUGUAUGUAGAGAUUUGGCUUGCAUGAUUUUGCACUGUAGCCAUGUGGCUAAUCUGAAUUUAUCACUUAAUAUGAUAUAAUAGCUGUAAAGGCAGUAAAAAUUCUUCAUGAUUAUAUUUGAUAUUAUGGUUUACCUGAUAUGAAUAGAAAGUAAGCUGUACAAAGGCAAUUUUCUUUUCAUUUUUGCACAGCAAUAAGGACUGUUAUUCUCCUCAACUUCCCAAAGCAUAUUUCUGAAAUAAUGGAAACUUUACGUUUAUUGUAGACAUAGAAAUGAUAAUUUGGAGGAUGAAAAAAUUCUUCAUUGAUCUGAACCAAGCUCCCAGAUGUGAUGAUUUCCCUCUUCUGCACAGCAAGUUGUAUUUCUCAUAUGCCAAGAAAAGGCAAAUUUUACAUAACACUUUGCCAAUAAUCAUAGAACAUCCUGUGCUGGAACCAACCCACAAGAAUCAGUGAAUCCAACUUCUACCUCCACAAAUGAGGCAUGUGUCUGAGAAUAUUGUCUAAAUGUUUCUUGAACUCUGACAGUCUCGGUAUUGUGACCACUGUCCUGGGCAACCU